AGUUACCGCUCUGUUAAGUGGCAUA
rnacentral:piRNA from 1 species